rnacentral:rRNA from 1 species
GAGGGACGGAGAAGGCUAGGCCAGCUUGGCGUUGGUUGUCCAAGUUUAAGGUGGUAGGCUGAAAUCUUAGGUAAAUCCGGGAUUUCAAGGCCGAGAGCUGAUGACGAGUUACCUUUCAGGUAACGAAGUGGUUGAUGCCAUGCUUCCAAGAAAAGCUUCUAAGCUUCAGGUAACCAGGAACCGUACCCCAAACCGACACAGGUGGUUGGGUAGAGAAUACCAAGGCGCUUGAGAGAACUCGGGUGAAGGAACUAGGCAAAAUGGCACCGUAACUUCGGGAGAAGGUGCGCCGGUGAGGGUGAAGGACUUGCUCCGUAAGCUCAUGCCGGUCGAAGAUACCAGGCCGCUGCGACUGUUUAUUAAAAACACAGCACUCUGCAAACACGAAAGUGGACGUAUAGGGUGUGACGCCUGCCCGGUGCCGGAAGGUUAAUUGAUGGGGUUAGCUAACGCGAAGCUCUUGAUCGAAGCCCCGGUAAACGGCGGCCGUAACUAUAACGGUCCUAAGGUAGCGAAAUUCCUUGUCGGGUAAGUUCCGACCUGCACGAAUGGCGUAACGAUGGCGGCGCUGUCUCCACCCGAGACUCAGUGAAAUUGAAAUCGCUGUGAAGAUGCAGUGUAUCCGCGGCUAGACGGAAAGACCCCGUGAACCUUUACUAUAGCUUUGCACUGGACUUUGAAUUUGCUUGUGUAGGAUAGGUGGGAGGCUUUGAAGCGUGGACGCCAGUCUGCGUGGAGCCAUCCUUGAAAUACCACCCUGGCAACUUUGAGGUUCUAACUCAGGUCCGUUAUCCGGAUCGAGGACAGUGUAUGGUGGGUAGUUUGACUGGGGCGGUCUCCUCCUAAAGAGUAACGGAGGAGUACGAAGGUGCGCUCAGACCGGUCGGAAAUCGGUCGUAGAGUAUAAAGGCAAAAGCGCGCUUGACUGCGAGACAGACACGUCGAGCAGGUACGAAAGUAGGUCUUAGUGAUCCGGUGGUUCUGUAUGGAAGGGCCAUCGCUCAACGGAUAAAAGGUACUCCGGGGAUAACAGGCUGAUACCGCCCAAGAGUUCAUAUCGACGGCGGUGUUUGGCACCUCGAUGUCGGCUCAUCACAUCCUGGGGCUGAAGCCGGUCCCAAGGGUAUGGCUGUUCGCCAUUUAAAGUGGUACGCGAGCUGGGUUUAGAACGUCGUGAGACAGUUCGGUCCCUAUCUGCCGUGGACGUUUGAGAUUUGAGAGGGGCUGCUCCUAGUACGAGAGGACCGGAGUGGACGAACCUCUGGUGUUCCGGUUGUCACGCCAGUGGCAUUGCCGGGUAGCUAUGUUCGGAAUAGAUAACCGCUGAAAGCAUCUAAGCGGGAAACUAGCCUCAAGAUGAGAUCUCACUGGAACCUUGAGUUCCCUGAAGGGCCGUCGAAGACUACGACGUUGAUAGGUUGGGUGUGUAAGCGCUGUGAGGCGUUGAGCUAACCAAUACUAAUUGCCCGUGAGGCUUGACC